rnacentral:rRNA from 1 species
UACGUAGGGGGCGAGCGUUGUCCGGAAUCAUUGGGCGUAAAGAGCGUGUAGGUGGCUUGGAAAGUCUUACGUGAAAGCCUGCGGCUCAACCGCAGAAGUGCGUAGGAAACUUCCUCGCUAGAGUCCGGAAGAGGAGAGCGGAAUUCCUGGUGUAGCGGUGGAAUGCGCAGAUAUCAGGAGGAACACCGGUGGCGAAGGCGGGUCUCUGGGCCGAUACUGACGCUGAGGAGCGAAAGCGUGGGGAGCGAACAGG